rfam:Ictidomys tridecemlineatus contig075480, whole genome shotgun sequence.
GGGGUUGUGGCUCAGUGGUAGUGCUCUUGCCUAGCAUGCAUGAGGUCCUGGGUUCGAUUCUCAGCAACACAU